CCCCCCCCCGCGACCCGGAAGUAGUAGCGGAGCAGGACCCGGAUGUGGCUGGACAGGUGUUGGGACCGGGCGAUCCGCUUCCCGCCGCCGAGCGCGCGCAACCCACCCGGAUCUGCGCGCGGCACCGCCUGGGUUACCUGGAGUUGGAGAAGGAUGUUGGGCACCUUAAUAAGAUAGAUAAUUGUGGUACUUUUGCUUGCAGAGCAAAAAUUCAUUCAUCACUUUCCCUGCAUCUCCAGCUCUCUCUUCUACCUGAUGUUUUAGAGCUUCUCAAUACAGAGACUAGCACAUUACUACUUAGGCAGUAGUAAGCGCUGUAAAUGUUGGGAGUUUAUUAUUUUUCUUGGGUCCGUGUCCUUCAUUAUUAUGAUAAUGAUAAAAUCUUGAUUUCUUUCUUGCUGAUUUUUGGUCUUUCCUGUAUGAUUCUCAGUGAUGUUGUGAGAAACUGUAUCUUGGAAAGUUUGGAAGUAGAGAUGGGGGAGAGAUGGACUGACUGGGCCAGGAGACUGGGAACAGGGAGAUGGGAGGGGAAGAAUUGGGAGCCUGAGGGGAGAGGAGGAAGACAGAUUAAGAGUUUAGGGUUGUUGGAGGGUUCUGGCUAGACAAGGACACUGGGAAUUGGGGGAAGACAGAUCAAAUGAGGAGCUUAGGGUGGGGGGGAAUAUGGGGCAGCUGGGCAAGAACACUGGGAGCCUGUGGGGAAAAUGACAGAUCAGAUGUGGAGGCUGACUCAAGGUGGAAACUAAGACUGGCAGGGCAAUGAGACUAGAACUGGGAUGAAUACUAGGACUGGAUAGGAAGUAGAACGGGAUGAGGAGGCAGGGGUGGGGAAGAUAGGACUGAUUGAAGGGAAUGGGUCAGAAGGGGUCAUACUUGGGGACAACAGUCAGAGGUGACUGUGCCCACUAGAGAACACUCCCUUCCAAAGCCUGGAACGGAACCCAAGAUUCCUGAGUCGUCUCAUUCUUCUGUCACCAAAUAGCUGUGAAACCCACUGGCAAAGGAUGCUGCUUAUCCCACUGUAGUAGCUGGUCCACAGAGAGGGUGACAACCUACCAUUGCUAUGAGUUACUCUGUUAGAAGAACUGGCAGAGGCAGAGGUCUGUGCUAUGGAUCCAAAGGACACCCUGCUGACAACCAAGUGGGAGUCGGACCCUUGCCUCAUUCACAGGAAGAACCUUCUCUGGCAGUGUGUAGUAAAGGAAUAUGUCUGUAGGACUGCUGCUUCAUUUGUUGCAGAAGUUCGAAGGUGUGUAGUACAUGAUGCAGGGGAUUACGGGAAGAGAAAAGUUGAUCCUGAAGGAUGACCCAUCACUCUCACAGAUCUUGGGAGACAGGCCAGUCCUUGCUUACAGACAGCCCCCCAAUCUGAAGCAAAUACUCACCAGCAACCACUCACCACACAACAGAACCACUAA